UCGGACAUUUGAUGUCAUGUACCGGAACGGUUAAACGGUUAAACUUUCGUUUGGUUUAAAAAUUGUGACAUUUCAAUAGUUACUUUUUGAUUAGAUAUUUUUAUACCUUGUUUUACUUGAACAUAAUUUAUCACUCUUCCACGAGGACUAAUACAUCAAUAGUAUAGGAAAACGACGAGAAUAACGGACAGCCAAUUAACGGAGAGGGAGGAGAAGAACAGUCACAGCCAGCACUAGUAAAAAGGAAUUUCCGCUAUUAUGGUGCUAUAACACAUACAUAUGUAAUAAAUAUUGUUUGUUGAGUAUAUGUAUUAUAUGUACAUAUCGAUACAACGCUGGAGGAGGAGCAGCAAGCAACCCACAGCAUAAUGAAAGCUUGUCUUAGGAGCUGGCAGAAGGCCUUGCCGCUCUUUCAUUGGAGUCCGUAGAGUCGGAAGGCACGGCAGCAUACUCAUGGACAUUGGAUGUGACUGUAGUAUAACAAGAUCCGCAUAGCCUUACGGGAUUGAAAAGCUUUUCAUACGGCAAAGGGGCCCAAAAUUCCGAGCAGUCAGCACAGAAAAUUUCUCCACAUGAUCUGAAAUGAAAACACAAGUAAAUUUAAAAUUAGAAAAUAAUAGUAAUACUUUAAAUGUAAUAUUUUUUGUUAAAGUUAAUGGUUGUAAAAUAAACAGAUUUCAGAGGA